rnacentral:rRNA from 1 species
UGUGAUGUUAUUUUGUGGAGUGACAAAUGGUGUUAAAACCGUUCUGCGCCUGCUUUUUAUCAAAUCAUGCCGAAUGCGUGCACUUUUUCUCUAGUAGGACGUUGCGAUCCGUUGAGUGUAGACUUAAGGCCCGCAUAGGAGCCCAUUCGGUUUGGCUUCGGUCACUCAGUUUGGACGUGUGGUGUCCCGGUCUACUCGCUCGACGGUAUAUAGAUGGCAUAGAGCCGCAUUUAUGCGUUCAGCCUGUGGCAAGCACUUUCCUGCGUUGGCAGUCGGACCUAGCGCCGGCUCUGACCUGGCAAGACUGUUGGCCAUAGUGUUCUUGAACCGACUCUAUUUUUUAAGCCGAUCUGCGACGCUUUAGCUUUGGGUACUUUCAGGACCCGUCUUGAAACACGGACCAAGGAGUCUAGCAUGUGCGCGAGUCAUUGGGUAUUACAAAACCUAAAGGCGAAAUUAAUGUAAAGGUUUGACUUUGUGCAGACUUAGGGAAGAUGGGUGGUUCACAUUAACUGUGGCCGCUCCGCACUCCCGGGGCGUCUCAUUCUCAUUACGAGAAGAGGCGCACCAAGAGCGUACACGCUGGGACCCGAAAGAUGGUGAACUAUGCCUGGUCAGGAC